GACCGUGUGGCAAAAUGGCAUCGGGUCUGACUACGAGUCGUGAAUCAGGAGAUUGUAGGUUCGACCCCUGUCUCGGUCA